rnacentral:rRNA from 1 species
CCCGCGUUGGAUUAGGUAGUUGGUGGGGUAAUGGCCUACCAAGCCGACGAUCCAUAGCUGGUUUGAGAGGAUGAUCAGCAACACUGGGACUGAGACACGGCCCAGACUCCUACGGGAGGCAGCAGUGGGGAAUCUUAGACAAUGGGGGAAACCCUGAUCUAGCCAUGCCGCGUGAGCGAUGAAGGCCUUAGGGUUGUAAAGCUCUUUCAGAUGGGAAGAUAAUGACGGUACCAUCAGAAGAAGCCCCGGCUAACUCCGUGCCAGCAGCCGCGGUAAUACGGAGGGGGGCUAGCGUUGUUCGGAAUUACUGGGCGUAAAGCGCGCGUAGGCGGAUUGGAAAGUUGGGGGUGAAAUCCCGGGGCUCAACCUCGGAACUGCCUUCAAAACUCCCAGUCUUGAGUUCGAGAGAGGUGAGUGGAAUUCCGAGUGUAGAGGUGAAAUUCGUAGAUAUUCGGAGGAACACCAGUGGCGAAGGCGGCUCACUGGCUCGAUACUGACGCUGAGGUGCGAAAGCGUGGGGAGC